UACAUCGAACGCGGGAGCUCGCGCCUUGGCGGGCUGAGAGGGCGACUGGGAAUCACCCGGUGUCGCCGACCGCACGAACCUGACUGGGUAAUGCCAGCGUAGGGAGUGAACGUCGUUGCAGA
rnacentral:ncRNA from 2 species